rnacentral:rRNA from 1 species
CCUUUCGGGGUGGAUUAGUGGCGAACGGGUGAGUAAACGGGGGCAAUCUGCCCUUCACUCUGGGACAAGCCCUGGAAACGGGGUCUAAUACCGGAUAACACUCUGUCCCGCAUGGGACGGGGUUAAAAGCUCCGGCGGUGAAGGAUGAGCCCGCGGCCUAUCAGCUUGUUGGUGGGGUAAUGGCCUACCAAGGCGACGACGGGUAGCCGGCCUGAGAGGGCGACCGGCCACACUGGGACUGAGACACGGCCCAGACUCCUACGGGAGGCAGCAGUGGGGAAUAUUGCACAAUGGGCGAAAGCCUGAUGCAGCGACGCCGCGUGAGGGAUGACGGCCUUCGGGUUGUAAACCUCUUUCAGCAGGGAAGAAGCGAAAGUGACGGUACCUGCAGAAGAAGCGCCGGCUAACUACGUGCCAGCAGCCGCGGUAAUACGUAGGGCGCAAGCGUUGUCCGGAAUUAUUGGGCGUAAAGAGCUCGUAGGCGGCUUGUCACGUCGGAUGUGAAGCCCGGGGCUUAACCCCGGGUCUGCAUUCGAUACGGGCUAGCUAGAGUGUGGUAGGGGAGAUCGGAAUUCCUGGUGUAGCGGUGAAAUGCGCAGAUAUCAGGAGGAACACCGGUGGCGAAGGCGGAUCUCUGGGCCAUUACUGACGCUGAGGAGCGAAAGCGUGGGGAGCGAACAGGAUUAGAUACCCUGGU